UGAGUAACACGUAUCCAACCUGCCGUCUACUCUUGGACAGCCUUCUGAAAGGAAGAUUAAUACAAGAUGGCAUCAUGAGUUCACAUGUUCACAUGAUUAAAGGUAUUCCGGUAGACGAUGGGGAUGCGUUCCAUUAGAUAGUAGGCGGGGUAACGGCCCACCUAGUCUUCGAUGGAUAGGGGUUCUGAGAGGAAGGUCCCCCACAUUGGAGCUGAGACACGGUCCAA
rnacentral:rRNA from 1 species